CAGUAGCCGCGGUAAAACGUAGGUGGCAAGCGUUGUCCGGAAUUAUUGGGCGUAAAGGGCUCGCAGGCGGUUUCUUAAGUCUGAUGUGAAAGCCCCCGGCUCAACCGGGGAGGGUCAUUGGAAACUGGGAAACUUGAGUGCAGAAGAGGAGAGUGGAAUUCCACGUGUAGCGGUGAAAUGCGUAGAGAUGUGGAGGAACACCAGUGGCGAAGGCGACUCUCUGGUCUGUAACUGACGCUGAGGAGCGAAAGCGUGGGGAGCGAACAGGAUUAGAUACCCCCGUAGUCCAUGUCUCUUAUAU
rnacentral:rRNA from 1 species